rnacentral:rRNA from 1 species
UGGGGAAUAUUGCACAAUGGAGGGAACUCUGAUGCAGCAACGCCGCGUGCGGGAUGACGGCCUUCGGGUUGUAAACCGCUUUCAGCCAUGACGAAGCUUUUGUGACGGUAGUGGUAGAAGAAGCACCGGCUAACUACGUGCCAGCAGCCGCGGUGCUACGUAGGGUGCGAGCGUUGUCCGGAAUUAUUGGGCGUAAAGAGCUUGUAGGCGGUUUGUCGCGUCGAUAGUGUAAACACGCAGCUUAACUGUGUGCCUGCUGUCGAUACGGGCUGACUAGAGGAGGGUAGGGGAGAAUGGAAUUCCCGGUGGAGCGGUGGAAUGCGCAGAUAUCGGGAGGAACACCAGUGGCGAAGGCGGUUCUCUGGACCUUUCCUGACGCUGAGAAGCGAAAGCGUGGGUAGCAAACAGG